AAAAUGCUUUCAACAUUUUAGAAUUUUCAAAUUUUACAAUAUUUUGCCAAAAAAUAUGUCUUGAUAAUUUUUGGAAAGGUAAAAGGUUUAAAGACCCCAGCUGGAUUCGAACUCAUGACUUACAGUUUUAAAGCAUAUCCUCUAACCAACUGCGUUACGCUUAAUGUUCUAUUUCGAGAAAGACACUGUUUAUAAAAUUACACUUGAUUUUAUUGUUUAUUUGGAUAAACAUUUCAUCACAGUAUGGUUUCCCAUACCACCUUAGCCUGAAUGUCUUAUUUUGAUAUUCCAAAAUUUAAGAUUAUUAUCAAGGUAUCAGUUUAUUUUCUUUAGUAAAUGAAAUAUGGAAAUCUUGUUAAUUAAUUUGUUCUUGUUUAGUGUUACACAUUCAAUUUAAUAACAUUGUAAUAAAAAGUAAGACUGUUUUAAACUU
rnacentral:misc_RNA from 1 species